CUGAAGAAAUGCUUCACAUAAUCAGAGUAGAGAAUGUUCUUAUAUUUGGGCUUCUCUCCGGCGGCGAUCAAUUCAGGCAAAGGACCGAUCACAUCAUUUGGCUUUGGAUUUACGAAAAUGGGGAUUGAAAUUCUGUUCUUGCUCCCACUUGCAAUCACACAGUGCUCUACGCUCUUGUAUCGACCGUUGCUCAGUAUCUGCAA
rnacentral:misc_RNA from 1 species